rnacentral:lncRNA from 1 species
ACUUGACCCUGUGCCCAUGGUCCUCCUUGGGGUAUCAUGGUUACGUGUUCCAGAACAGGUAGAGGCAUGGAGGGAAUGGCUCCACUCCCAACCGUUUCUUAUGCCUGCCUGGUAACAAGGUUCCACGCGCCCUACAAUUCUAAUGUUUGUGUCCAGUUCUGAACUUAUAUGUUGAAACCCAGUGACGGAUGUGGUAAUGUCCGGGAUGGGGCCUGGGGGUCAUAAGGUCACAGGGGAUUAGUAAUUCAUAAGAGAGGCCCCAAACAGCUGCCUUCCCCUCCUCCUUCUGCCACGUGAAAACACCCAAAAGCCUCUUGCCAUGACGUAGAUACAGUCUACCUUGAUCUUCAGCCUCCAGGGCUGAGAAAUAAGAGUCUGUUUAUGGCUCAGGGUUAGAGCAGCCUGGACGAGGCUUCUAAGUUUCUGAGAGUCUGUGGCACCUGGCAGAGCUGGUUGUGGGAGUGAAAAAAAUGAUCACUCAAUCUUCAGUCCGUCUUCCGCAAAGCUUAACUAGACUUGCGUUCUGUUAGUCGUGGGAAACAGUUCAGAGGAGAAAGGAACGGUGAAUGACCCCACGGUUCAAGGGUCCAUGCUUCUAAAGGUCUGCCCUCAGUGUUCUACCUGGCUGAGAUGCUCCAAUGACGCCCGAGAUGAGAGCAGCCUGGCGUAGCUGCUACAACUGGGGGAUUCUCGGUUCUUUCUGGACACCGGUGUCUCAAGUUCCAAGGCCAGCUCUUCUGAGGCGAAGGUGGACCCCUCUCUGAGUCCCACACUGAAGUAGGCUUUUGUAGCCUGGAAACAUCCAAAGCAACAGAAGAACAUUCUACCCAGGGAAUAGUUGCAAUGGCUUGAGAAGACUACUUCCAAGUUCUCACAGCCUUGACCCCACCUGUGGUCAAGCCGUAUACAAUAAACGACAGAACAGUUGGACAAUCUGCAACUCGCUGAUUACAAAAGAAAAAAAAGAAAAGGAAAAUGUACCGUGAAGUUUGGAAUGCUGCAGUGGUAGCCAGAGGAUCUCUAGUAGAGCCGUUUCCUUAGGGUAGAGCUAUAGGGUAGAGCAAGAGUCCGACUCCUGAUUCUCUGGGCAUGGAUACCAAAUGUCCUCCCCUGCCAAAUAGGUAGCUCAGCUAAAAAUUCCAGAAAACUGGUCCUUCUAUAGCUUGUCUCCUUACACUGCGGAUUCCAGCGCUUCAAAGCUUCCAGCCUAAUCCUGCUUCUUGGAUUAAGUGUUAGCUGCAGGCUCCUCUCUGGGUGGCCUGCCUCAGCCAGACAACUACUUUUAGGAUCAAAAUGAUAAUAUUUUGGUUUUGGUUAGUCCAUCUCAACCUCCCAAAGCAAGCCAAGGAGUGAACGAAGAGAGAACAAUCAACAGUUUGGUCCAAAGCCUGAUGUCGAGUAGUACAGACCCUCGCUUCCUGCCUGCCCCCCGCCCCCCCCGGCCAAGGCCCCCUGGGGCCUUAGGCGUUCUGCGCUUGGGAGCCUGGCAUAUGUGUCUUUUCCACUGGAAAUAAAGCGAUCACUCACCA